rnacentral:rRNA from 1 species
CGGCAACAGCUCAAAUUUGAAAUCUGGCUCUUUCAGGGUCCGAGUUGUAAUUUGUAGAAGAUGCUUUGGGUGUGGCUCCGGUCUAAGUUCCUUGGAACAGGACGUCAUAGAGGGUGAGAAUCCCGU